CAGUAGCCGCGGGAAUACGAGGGGGGCAAGCGUUGUUCGGAAUUAUUGGGCGUAAAGCGUGCGCAGGCGGUUCGUUAAGACAGAUGUGAAAUCCCCGGGCUCAACCUGGGAACUGCAUUUGUGACUGGCCAGCUAGAGUAUGGCAGAGGGGGGUAGAAUUCCACGUGUAGCAGUGAAAUGCGUAGAGAUGUGGAGGAAUACCGAUGGCGAAGGCAGCCCCCUGGGCCAAUACUGACGCUCAUGCACGAAAGCGUGGGGAGCAAACAGGAUUAGAUACCCGAGUAGUCCCUGUCUCUUAUAA
rnacentral:rRNA from 1 species